AUGGGUGAAAAACCUCUGCUAAAGUUAUAAAAAAAACCGCUUUUAAAAAGCGGCUUUUGCAGACGCGGGUUCAACUCCCGUCAUCCCUA
rnacentral:tRNA from 1 species